rnacentral:rRNA from 1 species
GUGACUGCGUACCUUUUGUAUAAUGGGUCAGCGACUUAUAUUCUGUAGCAAGGUUAACCGUAUAGGGGAGCCGUAGGGAAACCGAGUCUUAACCGGGCGUUAAGUUGCAGGGUAUAGACCCGAAACCCGGUGAUCUAGCCAUGGGCAGGUUGAAGGUUGGGUAACACUAACUGGAGGACCGAACCGACUAAUGUUGAAAAA